UACAGUUCCAUAUUUUGCUGUCAUUGCUGUUGUUGAUUUGGUUUUGAUUUUGUGUUUGUUACUGAGAGAGCUGGAAAAGGAACGUAAGGGAGGGUGGAGCUAGAAACCCUUGCUUAACUGAAGAGCAUCUGAUCAGCUGCAUUUUGCCUUUCUGGAAGACAGGCAGAGUCAGUGAGGAUGACAACAUUUGCUUCAGUAAAUGGCAGCAUGGUUCCCCCAUUUGGGGUAACUGAUCCAGUGUUCUCACUGCGCUCGUACGUCUGAGCCUCAUGUGGACCAGCAUCCCUUCACAAAACAUACUGCUUUCUUUCAUAAGGUUUGCAGUUAAAAACACAAAUGAACAGGUAUACAUCAGCAUCUAUUGGUAAUGACAGCAGCAACACUUUCUCGAAAAGAAAAGCAGGAUCUGGCUACUCUGGGUCCAAGUCAUCUUGCUGCCUUUGAGGAGCACGUGCUGCAGCAGACGGCGUGUGGAGCCCCUGCCAGACAGGCGCAAGGGUUGGGCUUGCAGAUCUCAACAGCUCCAUUGCCAUGACGAAUGAAGCUGUCAGAGGAAGAUAUGAUUCUCUAGGCUUGGUCUACGGCUGUAGACCUCAUCUCUUCUUCCACUUCUCCAUGGCUCUGGACAGCUGAGCUAAAGCAACAUGUAGAUAACUAACCAUAAACAAGCUCCUGGGAAUACUCCAGUAUUUGUGACCUUGUUUGUAGCAGGAGGAACAUAUUUGUUAUGCCUCCAUUUCAGAGAAGCUUAUUCAGCUUCCAGUGAUUAUUGCAUGGCCUUAAGCCUUGUAGGGGUUAUUUAAUAUUAUAUUUUCCUUGCUAACACAUGCCACAAUGCUGUACUUAUUAUUUAAAGCUUUUCUGCUAAAAAGCCAUUGUUCAUGAAUUAGUUUGAUAAGACUUGUAUAAAUACAGAGUUGUGACUUUGCGUGUGAACCAUUUAGCCUUUUUCAUAAGAAAUAAUUCCUAGUGUUAAGACUCCUCCCUGCCCCACAAAUCAAAUGUUUUUUUCCAGUAAUUCCUUCUCAAGGAAGAUGCCCCAGGAAAAUCUGCUUGUUGGCUAAGGUCAUCUCAAGUAUUUGUAUUUUUUAUACACAUGAGAGGAUAAAUCCUUAACUAGAAGAGAUACCAUUGCUCGUUUUUGCCCUCUUCCUCCUCUCCCAAAAGCUUGCUACAUUAGUCCCCAUCUGCAAGCCCUGGAUUACCUACUAAGAGGUUAUAUAAACGUGCUUUAUGUGGUUUUACACCUCUAGGAGAGGUAUUUACUGAGCUAGCUCCUGGGCCGUGCUAGGCCCCAGGGGAUGCUGGUUAGGGACAGUAAGACCUGUGGGUGCCUUUAGGACCACGACAGGUAAGGGCACUGCUGACACUGCCACCAACGGCAUUAACUGUGGUUUUCUUUUAUUUGGUAGCUAGGUUUACUUGAAAAAAUGGCUCCCACAUUGGCCACCCAGUGUGGUAUACGUGAGUGUGCUCAUAUUCACAUCUCUCAAUAUCUUUUGAACUGCCUGGCCAAUUUCAGCUAUAGUUGGUAGGGGUCACCGGGGUAUUAAUGAUAUCCCCACAAGGUUCAUGAAUCACGCA
rnacentral:lncRNA from 1 species